GGUAUUUUGACUAUCAACUUCAUUUGAGGAGUCCCAUUCGAAUGAUAGAGUCAAAACUUUGUUCCAACUUCCAAAUUCCAAUCAAUCGUUUCACCUCCACACAGAACUAUCCUUCAGCUGUUAAAGAUUCAUUAAACCGUAAUUCAAAAAGUUUAAUCAGAACGCUGCAGCCGAAUUGAAGCGGAUUCCACAACCCUAAAAGAACCUAAUUAGAUCAAACGUGAUGUUCUUUUCCACAAAAAAAAAAAAAAGAAAAAACAUUUUUACUGCAACAUUUCUAGAAUCAUCUUGAUUUUGGGCAUGAAUUAGAUGCACUUGAUUGAGCUUUAUUAACAGGUCAUGCAUGUGUGUACCCAUGAAAGAGAAAAUGUCAUUAAGGCAGAUACCUUAAAUGCAGCCAUACACUGAUAUGUGAUAUCUUAUCUUGAAGUUCGUCACAUUACUCCGCGAGGAAGAAGUCUAUUCACUUUUUAAGUUCAACACCACUAUGGAGAAACCCAGAUUGGUUUAUGGUCAUAUCUCGAUGUCACGGCAUGUGUUGCUUGCUUGGUGAUCAAAACAUGAUGUUACAUGGGGUUAUGUUUUACUUAUAUCCGAUCUCCACUCGGGUAUUUCCCAUCUUAUGUCCGUUGGUGUGUGGUUCUUCCUUUAUCUAUGUCCGAGAAGUGGAAUCCGUGAAUACUCUCAGUGGAACUUCAUUACCCGCCAAGAGGAGAAAUUGGCAUCAUGACAUGCCACUAACAUCCUCAUAUGUAACGCCACCGCCACCUAUGUGCUGAUUGGAAAUGGUUGGCACUAUCUUGCCUGCCAUCGGUGUAGCAAGAAGGUUGUGGGUGAUGGUGGAGACCUUUGGUGCACUAAAUGUGAAGCCAAAGUUGAACUGCCAUCGCAAGGUUCAUGGUCCGCUUUGAGGUAGAGGACCAUACUGGCACCACCGUUUUUGUAGCUCUGGAUAGUGAAGUCCAAAAAUUGGUCCGUGCUACCGCAGCUGAGCUCACAUGAGCGUCAUAGGAUAAUGCAAAAUCUGGGGUAAUAUCUGGAUUCUCGCAGAUACUUCAUCGAGUUGUUGAUUUCCAAAUUAGUAUCAAUUCUUUCAACAUGAAGCAGAAAACACCAACCAGCUUCAGUGUCACCCGCAUUAACUUCACCAACCAGCCUGGCUAAGGUGUUUUUGCGACUGUGACAGUUGAAGGAGAUUCAAAUACUGUUGAUGGACCAUACGCAAAGAAACCUUGCCUUGACGAAACAACUGGAAUGGAGGAUAAUAAGAAUGAAGCUGCUGAAUGAGAUGGGCCUCGCCACCGGAAUAUAAUUGAAUAAAACAUUACAUGAAUCUUUACUCAGUAUUGUUAUUUGUUUUCUGUUUCCUUUGUUUGAACUCCAUGUUUCGCGGUUUACUUACAGUCUUGAUAUGAUAAUAGUUAUGCUCUAUUAUCAGGUUCCGCAUUUCAACCCUAGGUCUUUUGUUAUAAUGAAGGCUUAAUACUGCAUCUCUUUCCCUGCAAUAUAAUUAUCCGGGUUAGUGAAUUU